CAACCACAAGCUCAAGAUUUGAAGUUUCCUUUUUUGUCUUCUAAGUAAAAAUAUUUCCACUUGACUGACAGAUACUAUCCAGAAAUCAACUGCAGACUACAAACUGCCCCAAGCAGCUGUGAGUCCUGGACUUGCUGAUGUGAACCAGUCCAGCCAGUGUGGUGAUGUUUGUUCCCUGUAUGUUUAGCUGGGCCAGCAAACCAUAUCCUUCUCGUCAAUUCUCCAUUGCCUGAAAUUUCUCCCAGUCUUUUAUUAUCCUUCAGCCUUCCUGUGCCCUGAGAGUGACAUCUCAGUUCCAGCAGGAAGUAGUCACAGAAGGGAGCACAUCACCUCUUAGCCUAUAAAUAAAAGGCUGGAAAGUUAGGUCAAAAGGAAACUCCCUGGUAUAGGGGACAAAACGGUUACUUAUCGUGCCCAUUGGCACACCAGGAAAGGUACUUGUUAAAACCAAAUAGACGCAAAUAUAUCAAUAGGUUGAUUUAUUAUCUGAAGUGGUUCUACAAUUCGAUGGGGUGCUCAAUCUGCUUUAUGAAAGACACAGAUCUUAUUGCGUGGCAUUAGGAAAAAUUCUUCUUUCUAUGUAAAACACUUGAAAACCAUUAGCGGAAACUGGCAAGGAUUAGAUCUACUAACAAUGGAGAAGAGUGGCCUUCGUCUCUUCCUCGAGGAGGAAUGUUACUUCUAUGUCAACCAAUCAGAUACAGUAAAAGACGUGGUCUGACAACUCCAGUCAAAUCCCCCACAAUGUAAGGAGCAGCUUGAUUCCUCUGGCUAGGGGACUGUUGACAGUCCAAUACGGAAUUGGAUAAUGCCUUUCUCAACCCUCUUUCCGAAGCAUUGUUAAAGGCUCAGGGUCAGAAAUUGGGGUUCAACCUAAAGAUCUGAAAACAAACCAGUCAGCUACUGGCUCUUACCUUGACUUCAGUCUGAAAUGGCGAUCCUGCCUCCAGGAAUCUCAGAAUGAGACUGUGGCUGAGAGCUGCUCCCCCAUGUCUUACAUUCCUCUCUAGGACUGGGAUUAAAGGCACACACCACUGGAAUUAAAGGCAUGCACCACCCGAUUUCUACGGCAGCUAGUGUGGCUAUUGGGAUUAAAGGAUUAUCAGGGCCUGGCUACAAAACCAGGGCCCUUUGACUCCUGACUAUACUCAAGUGGUGAGGAUCAAGCUUGCCCCAUGGACUUCGAUGCCUCCAUACAACAGGAAGUAAUUUAAUGAUCAUGCCACCCUGUUUCCCAACUCCUGAUUAGAUAUCAGUAGUAAACAAAAAAUGGAGGAAUGUAGGGGGAAAGGGCCAAGGAAAGAACACCGUGACCCUAAUUUCACCUCAAGCUUGAGGCCAGGGCCAAGGGAAGAGCACUCUGUUCCUGGGUUGACGUAAAGCUCCCGACUUGAAAAUGCCUACCCUCAUGACUCGUCAUUAAUGACUGUGCAUGCUCCAAAAGGCCUAUAAAAGCCCUUCCCUCUACCCAAUCCUCUGCUGUCUCUGUUCCUGCCCACGGGCAGCAACCAUUCUGUGUCUCUCCCCAAUAAAUCUCUAGUAUGAAGUUUGUUGCACAGUGUGACUUUGUGGUUCCUUGGCUCCAGAUCACCAAAUUGUCCGUGCACCAGAAAAAAACCUUACAGGAUGCAAUGGCAG